AGCGUAGGUGGCGAGCGUUAUCCGGAUUUACUGGGCGUAAAGGGUGUGCAGGCUGCCCCUCAAGUGGUGUAUGAAAGGGCUCGGCUCAACCGGGCUAGGUUAUGCCAGACUGAGGGGCUAGAGAGCGAGAGCGGGACGUGGAAUUCCGGGUGUAGUGGUGAAAUGCGUAGAUAUCUGGAGGAACACCGGUGGCGAAGGCGGCAUCCUGGACCGACACUGACGCUGAUGAGCGAAAGCCAGGGGAGCAAACGGG
rnacentral:rRNA from 1 species